AUUGAACGCUGGCGGCAUGCCUAACACAUGCAAGUCGAACGGAGCGGCGGACGGGUGAGUAAUGCCUAGGAAUCUGCCUGGUAGUGGGGGAUAACGUCCGGAAACGGUCGCUAAUACCGCAUACUAUCAGAUGAGCCUAGGUCGGUUUAGCUAGUUGGUGGGGUAAAGGCCUACCAAGGCGACGAUCCGUAACUGGUCUGAGAGGAUGAUCAGUCACACUGGAACUGAGACACGGUCCAGACUCCUACGGGAGGCAGCAGUGGGGAAUAUUGGACAAUGGGCGAAAGCCUGAUCCAGCCAUGCCGCGGGUGUGAAGAAGGUCUUCGGAUUGUAAAGCACUUUAAGCAGGGAGGCGUUACCAACAGAAUAAGCACCGGCUAACUUCGUGCCAGCAGCCGCGGUAAUAC
rnacentral:rRNA from 1 species